rnacentral:lncRNA from 1 species
UUACUCACAGGUUGUUUUUUUGUCCCCCCCCCUUCACACUUUCUAUAUUUUUGUUUACCUUCUCUGUUCACAAGCUUCAACCACCACAUGCAGAAGGAUGCCAAAUUUAUAUCCCGUUCUAACUUCUCUUCGUUUAAGGCCCAAAUGUCUAAUUCUUAACCAUUCGUUUGCCAAAGGAUGUCCCACAGGCACAUCACGUUUCUUGUGCCUGAACAUCACUCAUCCGUUUUCGUAAUCUGCUUCUCAUCGAUUAAUCUCUUCUCCUGUGUGAUUAUUCCCGUCCACUUCGUUAUUGAAGACAGAGCCUUCAGAAUGGUUAUUGAUUCCCUUCUCAGUCACUCCUUAUGCUUCAUUAUAUACCAAGAUUUGCCUUUCCAAUUCUCCCUCUCCAGUAAGUGCUUACGUGGUUGCCUCAUCUAAUGGGGUAAGAGACAAGAUAGGGAAGAAGUGAGAGCUAAGAGAUUAUUUCAACAAUUCAGGCAAGAGCUUGAUAGAGUUUUAAUCUAAUUCCAUAACAGCGGGCAUAAAAAGUGAGUCCAGAGACAAGUCGUCAUGACACAAAAUGUACAUAACAAAAUGCAAAUGAUGGCAUAGGCGUAAAAGUAUUUGAAAUAACGAAGCUUUCAAAAUGAUUCUGCCUUGGGGACUACGUUCUAAUCAAGCUGAUAUUUAUUCACAUGGUUAACAUGAUUUUGAAGUAUUAGGUUCCCACAUUCAUUCAUAUGUGUACAAAUUAAUUCUGUAAGCAUUUACUGAACACACUUAAAGCAUUGUGCUAGUAUCUUUAAGUAAAUAUGUUUAAGGUGCAAACAGUCUUGUGAUAUCCACACAAGAGCUGGGAAAGCAAAUGCUCACCACACUCUCUUGAAGGUACAUAGGUAUAGUUCUAGCUGUUGAGACUGAAACAGAAAUUUUCUGGGCAUAGCUAAAAAACUUCUGCUUUUUUGAUAAAAAAGAAUAGACUCAACUGCAGUGACUCCCUUUUCCUCUUUCACCACACUUCCUUUUUUUUUUUUUUUUUUUUUUUGGCUUUUGUCUUUUUAAGGCCGCACCUCGGCUACAACCCCGAUGCAAUCCCUAGCCUGGGAACUUCCAUAUGCUGUGGGUGCAGCCCUAACAAGCCAAAAAAAAAAAAAGGAUCCAGAGUUGUCACUGCCAUGGUGCAGGUUCAGUCCCUGGCCCAGGAAUUUCUACAUGCCACGGUACAGCCCUAAAAUAAUAAUAAAAACAAAAUGUAUUAGAUGUUGCACACAUCACUCCUGCCAUAUACAUAAAUGGCAGUGUUUAACUGCAAGGGAGGCUGAAAAAUGUAAAUUUAAUUUUAUGUAACUAUUUGCCUGGCUUGACAUUUCCCAUGGCCUGCAAUGAUUGUUUCCCUUGCUUUCUGACUUGUCAACUCAUAUUUCUUUUGAAACUGCAUUCAUAUAUCACCUACUUGGAGAAUUCUUUUAUUGAAUUACCUCUUCUCUCCAUACCACAUAGUUGUUUUCUCCUCUGCCGCUGAGCACGUUUUCUAAUUCUUUAAACUAGACUAUAAAAUAGUCUAGAACAGAGACCAUGUCUUAUUCAUUUUGGUAUUAUGUGUGCAAGGCUAUGCUCCAUAAGGAGCUGAAUAAUAGUAAUAAAUGAAUAUAUUUUUAAUUAAUAGAUAAAUGUGUGAGUGAAUGAAUGGAUAGAUUGUAAGUAAAUUAAUAAGUGAAUGGGUGACUAAAUAAAUGGACAGGUUUGCAAGGGGUCCAAUAUACAGAUGAGUGGUGGAAUUAAUGAGUUAGGCAAUAAUUGGAUAGGUGAGUAGUUUGAUGAAUUAGUGGAUUGUUUAGUGAGAUGAAUGGAUGGGUUACAUGUAUGGAUAGGUAAUGAGUGAAUGAAUGGAUGACAGGGUGAGUGCAUAUGUGAACAGAUGAAUACAUGGAUACAUGAGUAUAUUGGUGAGUGAAUGGUGAAUAUAUAUAUUGAAUUGACUCUUCUGCCUUGUGGUAUGAGUUUCAAAGAGAAAAAUCUGACUGGAUUUUGAUCACACCUCUGUUACUUAAUCUCUGUGCAUCUCAAUUGCCUCAUCUCUAAAAUCAAAUUAUAAUAAAUACCUUGAAAGUUUUUGUGAAGGAAAAAUAGCAUUAUGUAAUGGUUGGUGCAAAGCAUAUGCGUAUAAAUAGUAGUUGCUAUUCCAGUCGUCAUUAUCAUCAUCAAAUACUUAGCCAAUUCUUGUUUCCUGCACAGACUUGGACUGAUUCCUGGGCAUACAUGGAAAUAUAUAUGUAAUAUUGGCUCUGCCUUCUAGAUCUCCCAGUUACUCUGGGUAGACAAGACAUAUGCAUUAAAGAAUAACCAUCAUUAAAAUGAAGGGAAUGCUCAGUGCCAGAUGAUGAAUUUAUGAGGAACUGGGAGAAAAAAGAGAGAAAGAUCAUGAAAAGUCAAGCAAGUCUUGGAAUGUUAUGUUGAGGUUUAGGAGGUAGAGAGAAGGAAGAUUAAAUUAGCAGAGGU